rnacentral:rRNA from 1 species
AGAACGAACGCUGGCGGCAUGCCUAAUACAUGCAAGUCGAACGAAGGCUUCGGCCUUAGUGGCGCACGGGUGCGUAACGCGUGGGAAUCUGCCCCUUGGUUCGGAAUAACAGUUGGAAACGACUGCUAAUACCGGAUGAUGACGAAAGUCCAAAGAUUUAUCGCCAAGGGAUGAGCCCGCGUAGGAUUAGCUAGUUGGUGAGGUAAAGGCUCACCAAGGCAACGAUCCUUAGCUGGUCUGAGAGGAUGAUCAGCCACACUGGGACUGAGACACGGCCCAGACUCCUACGGGAGGCAGCAGUAGGGAAUAUUGGACAAUGGGCGAAAGCCUGAUCCAGCAAUGCCGCGUGAGUGAUGAAGGCCUUAGGUUGUAAAGCUCUUUUACCCGAGAUGAUAAUGACAGUAUCGGGAGAAUAAGCCCCGAUAACGUCCGUGCCAGCAGCCGC